CUUAGCAUGAUGAAUGCAAAUAUCGAUAUGUUUAUCAGCAUUCCGCUAAGUAUAUAGCUCUAACUAUGGGAUUUUAUACAACAGCAAAUUUUACCGAAUUCACUCACGGAUAUACAGAGGAAGAUUAAGAAAACAGCAAAUUAAUCGAUAAUAUAAGAAAAUAAAUAGGAAUAAAUAAAAACGAGGGAAAAUAUGACG
rnacentral:misc_RNA from 1 species